UACGUAGGGGGCGAGCGUUAAUCGGAAUUACUGGGCGUAAAGCGUGCGUAGGCGGCUGUGCAAGACAGGUGUGAAAUCCCAGGGCUUAACCUGGGAACUGCAUUUGUGACUGCAAAGCUAGAGUACAGCAGAGGUGGAUGGAAUUCCGCGUGUAGCAGUGAAAUGCGUAGAUAUGCGGAGGAACACCAAUGGCGAAGGCA
rnacentral:rRNA from 1 species